CAAGAUUAGAUUUCUUAGGGUCGUCAAAGACGAUGACGUUGAUAGGAUGCAGGUGUACAGGUGGUAACAUCAUAGCCGAGCAUUACUAAUUGCCCGUCCACUUUCUUC
rnacentral:rRNA from 1 species